rnacentral:rRNA from 1 species
UACGUAGGGUGCAAGCGUUGUCCGGAAUUAUUGGGCGUAAAGAGCUCGUAGGCGGUCUGUCGCGUCGGCUGUGAAAACCCGGAGCUCAACUCCGGGCCUGCAGUCGAUACGGGCAGACUGGAGUUCGGCAGGGGAGACUGGAAUUCCUGGUGUAGCGGUGAAAUGGGCAGAUAUCAGGAGGAACACCGGUGGCGAAGGCGGGUCUCUGGGCCGAUACUGACGCUGAGGAGCGAAAGCGUGGGGAGCAAACAGG